rnacentral:rRNA from 1 species
AUGGCUGAUAUACCCCUCUUGCCGGUCACUAGGGACGGCGCGGAGGUCGGAGGAGGAGCCGCGAGUCCCAAGAAGAAGAAGACCAUGACGUCACUCUACCUCACCUUCUUUGAGACCGCCGCCGACGGCAAGAACCGUGCCUGUAGGCUCUGCAACAAGACAUAUUGCCUCAGCACCGCCACCAGCAAUCUGGGGAAGCACCUGAACAACCGGCACCCGGGCUACGACCAGCUCGCCGACCACCACCUGCACCUGCAGGGCGACCCUGCCCAGAGCGCCAUCUCCGGCAUGUUUGCCAGGAGCAAGAAGCCGCAGGCCCCGGCGCGAGCUCACCCGCAACCUCAGCCUCAGUCGCAAGCACAAGUUCAGGUUCAGUCUGUUCAGGCUCAGGCCAAAGCGCGGGCCAUCCGCGCUCAGCCUAGCGCGAAGCCGGCGGUGGACGUCGACUACGUCAACUGGUUGCUCCUUCGGUGGCUCAUCGGCUCCUCCUUCCCGCCCUCCACCCUCGAGGACAGCUCGUUUGUCGACAGCUGCAGGUACCUGAACCCGGCCGUCAGGCUCUGGCCGAAGGAGAAGGCUCAGGAGAUCACCCUUCAGGUGUUCAAGAGCAUGAAGGAGGAUGUCAAGGCGUCCCUGCAGCGCGUCAGGUCCCGGCUGUCCAUCUCCCUUGAGUUCUGGACUUCCUACGAGCAGAUAGUGUACCUGUCUGUCAAGUGCCACUGGAUCGACGAGACCUGGGUCUCGCAGAAACUCCUGCUUGACGUGUGCCGGGUUCGGUGCCACUGUACCGGUGCUGACAUUCUGCGAGUUCUGUUGGCUGUCUUGCAGGAUUUUAACAUUGACUUGAAAACCCUUGCUUGCACGCACAAUAACAGCCAGCAUGCUAUCCAUGCCUGUGAAGAGCUCAGGCGGGAGCUCGAGUCCCGGAAGCUCCCCUUCUGCUACAUCCCCUGUGCCGCAAAGGCGCUAGAGGUUAUCAUAGAGGAUGGCCUGCAAAAUGUGAAGCCUGUAUUGUCCAAGGCCCGCGAGUUUAUCCUUGAGACCAAUUCGAACCAGGAGAUGUUGGUGGAUUUUAAGCACUGGACUGAAGUUUACCAAGAAGGCCCAUGUAAAUUCCCUCUUGAUCAUUCGGCAAACUGGAACGGCAAUUACAAUGUGCUCGACAUAGUAAAGAAGGCCCCUAAUGCGAUGGAUAACACCAUCAAGAAGUUUCAAGACAUUUUUGGGCCGAGGGACUGGGUUCUGAGUGACGAGGAGAAGUCAGUGGUGAAUUCAUUGCACUCGUACCUUGAGCCAUUCUAUAAAACUACGACCAACCUUUGUACUUGCAAAUUACCAACUGUUGGGUUGGUCUUCUUCUUCAUGGACCAUGUCUUUGAGUUGAUCAAUGUCUGCCAUGACAGCAGCCACCAGAAAUUGUUUGAGAAAAUCGCCAGAGACAUGUCCAAGACGGCUCGUGACUUCACAUCUCAAGCUUACAACAUCUACACCUUCACGGCCGCGAUUCUUGAUCCAAGGAUCAAAGGGGAGCUCAUCCCUGACGCCCUCAACUCCACCAGCAACUUGGAGGAUGCAAGGGACCAUUUCGUCAGAGACUACAGCAGCAUCUUCCAAGCUCCUGGAAAUGGCUACAGCACCCAACAAGACAACACCGAGGAUGGCGGCGCGUUCUCCUUCGCCGAAGAGAUUAUUCGUAAACGCCGUCGUGUCAGCAUGAGCACUGCCGCUGAUGAGCUCACUCAGUAUCUUGCGGAGCCCCCCGCACCGAUUUCCACUGAUGCUCUUGAAUGGUGGAGAGGGCACUCCUCCCGUUACCCACGGCUCUCAUUGAUGGCCCGUGACUUUUUGGCAAUCCAAGGGACAUCGUUGGAUCCUGAAGAACUGUUCACAAGCAAAGGGGACAGUAUCCACAAGCAGCAGUACUGCCUUCCUCUUAGUAGCAUGCAGGCUACAAUGUGUAUAAAAUCGUGGAUGCAAAGUGGGUAUCAGUUCAAUUUUCAGUCGACAAUUAUUGAUUUCGAGAGAUUAAUCGAGUCUGCUACUGCUCCUGAUGCUGUGAAUGGUCCAGAGUCUUCUUGA